rnacentral:rRNA from 1 species
AUUGAACGCUGGCGGCAGGCCUAACACAUGCAAGUCGAACGAGUGGCGGACUGGUGAGUAGUGGCUGGGAAAAUGCCCGAUGGAGGGGGAUAACUACUGGAAACGGUAGCUAAUAACGCAUAACAUCGGAUGUGAGCUGAUGGGAGUAGCUAGUAGGUGGGGUAAGGGCUCAACUAGGGGAAGAGCCCUAGCUGGUCUGAGAGGAUGACCAGCCACACUGGAACUGAGACACGGUCCAGACUCCUACGGGAGGCAGCAGUGGGGAAGAUUGCACAAUGGGCGAAAGCCUGAUGCAGCCAUGCCGCGUGUGUGAAGAAGGCCUUCGGGUUGUAAAGCACUGUCAGCGGGGAGGCGUUACCCGCAGAAGAAGCACCGGCUAACUCCGUGCCAGCCGCCGCGGUAAUUC